ACAGCUGCCGCCGGCGCGGAGAAGCGCACCGCACCAUCUCUCCCCACGGCCGCGCCAGCCAAUGGCCGGGCGAGGCCCAGCCCUGGGGCCUGCCUAUUGGCCGGGGCGCCGUGGCGGCGCCAGCGUGGAGGCUGCCCGGGCGCAGGCGAUAGGGGAUCGCGCGGGUGGGGUGCCGGCAGCCCCGGCCCUGACCUGUGGUCCUCCCGCCGUGCGAGCACGACGGGAGCUUGGAGAUGAACGCAGGGCCAAGGGCUGGGCGCUCAAGGCACGGAGUUAAAUAAGGAGACGUCCACAAAGAGCUCCUUUCCAGAGAACACGGCCUGUCGCCAGCUUUGUCGAAUCACUUUGGGAGUAGGUAUGAGCUGUACUGGAAUAUUUCUUUUUCUUUGAAAGGAAUUUACUCUCCUCAGGAAAAAAGAACGCUCACGUGAUGUACAAACGGCAUAUCUACAACGAGGAGUGAGCGUCCAUCCCUGAGUUUCUUAGAGAUUCUUGCCUAAGGUGACUGGUUCACAAAGGGGUCAAGGACCAAGAAAGGAGGGAAAGAAGAAGGAAUUUUAACCCAAGUGUGAGCACUGCUGCUGAUAAGAGUGGACUGAGCUGUUUACGACAAAGGCCGUAUCCAGCUCAGCUGUCCAGUCCAAAUUCCCGUCCUCCUGUUCACCUUCAUUCUCCCGGCUCAGCCUCUCCCUCCAGCUGCCUCAGCCAGGGUCCUGGCUGUGUAUAGCUCACAGGUGAGAGAGACCAGAAGGAAACUAUACUGGC
rnacentral:lncRNA from 1 species